rnacentral:lncRNA from 1 species
CAUAGUUGUAUUUUUUUAGCCUCUGAAUCUGUUGGUGUUUUGUCUAAAUUGGUUAACAUUGUAGUGCAAGUACAUUGUUACUUCCAAGCUUUGCACAUUUAACAAAUGUUAUAGUAGGCCACUCAACAUACUGAUGGCAUGCUGCUAUGUUGGACGGUAAAGUAUUACCUACUGCAUGGAAGGUAUUGGGAACUUGAAAGGCUUGGGUUAAAGAAUGUUUGAUUUAUUGAAGAAUUUGAGGGAAAAUAGGAGGGAACAGAGAACUGGGACACAUAGAAAUAUAGUAUAUGCUACCAAUAUGGAUAAGGACUAGAAAACACAAAGUAAAUUGAAACCACAUUGUGGGCUACAUAACAAAUUGAGGGACAUGUUGUAGGUACCAACGGAAACUUAAACUUACAUGACAAAAUCAAUGAAAGUGAUUCUUAGAGAGAGUUAUGUCUGAAUCUGUUGGUGUUUUGUCUAAAUAAUCCUAGUGCAAGUACAUUGUUACUUUCAGGCUUUGCACAUUUAACAAAUGUUAAUAAUAGGCAACUGAACAUACUGAUGGCAUGCUGGUAUGGAUAAGAACUAGAAAACAAGAAGUAAAUU